rnacentral:piRNA from 1 species
UUUAGAUGGCAGGGGCACUUCCUCC